rnacentral:rRNA from 1 species
AUUGAACGCUGGCGGCAGGCCUAACACAUGCAAGUCGAACGAGUGGCGGACGGGUGAGUAAUGUCUGGGAAACUGCCCGAUGGAGGGGGAUCACUACUGGAAACGGUAGCUAAUACCGCAUACCAUCGGAUGUGCCCAUAUGGGAUUAGCUAGUUGGUGGGGUAACGGCUCACCUAGGCGAAGAUCCCUAGCUGGUCUGAGAGGAUGAACAGCCACACUGGAACUGAGACACGGUCCAGACUCCCACGGGAGGCAGCAGUGGGGAAUAUUGCACAAUGGGCGCAAGCCUGAUGCAGCCAUGCCGCGUGGAUGAAGAAGGCCUUCGGGUUGUAAAGGACUUUAAGCGAGGAGGCGUUACUCGCAGAAGAAGCACCGGCUAACUCCGUGCCAGCCGCCGCGGUAAUUU